AUUGAUUUUUUUUGCAUUUACUAAAUUAUGUAAAAGAUAUUAAAUCCUCACCAACUGAUGUAAGGGUUAGAUGUCAUGUUUACUCAAGUCAAGACUUUAAAUUUUAAAUGUUAACAUAUUAGUCAUUUUAUAUUGUUGUUGUUUACAAGUCUAUUUAUGUCAUGCCUAAUUAAUAACAUAAAAUAUUUACCGUAAAAUAACAUUGUUUUAGAUUCCCUUCAGGAUGCCUGUUUAAAAGAAAAACUGAAGAAACUUUAAAACUAGAUGAUAGCAACUGAAGAAGUUGAAACAUCGUUAUUCAAGGUGUCAUAUCGAGGCUUCAGUUCUCCAUGUAAGAAUGGAUGAAAGCACUAAAGAAGCGAAACGAUAAACUUUAAAGCAGAAUUUUGUCAUGCGAUUAUGGUGGCGAUAUGAGAGAACUACUGUGGCAUAAUAUUACUAUCGUAGAACAGUUUUGCAUCAAAUCAUUGUAUAAUAUUAGUUUUUUCUUGCUUAAAAAUAUUAUGAAAUUCAAA